CUUGCAAGCCACUGUCUGAUAUGUUUGGUAUAAGGUUGUUUCAGUAACAAUCAACUGUAUAUCAAACAUAUGGUCACAGUAGCUUGCUCA
rnacentral:pre_miRNA from 1 species